GACAAUUAUGGCGUCAGUAGAAACAGUUAAAGUAGAGGAUCUAGAAAAUGAAGAGGAAGUUAAAUUUUUCUGGGGUAGAAAGAGAGGUAUUGGUGGUAAGAGGAAGGAGGUUCAGUUUUAUGAAUCUUUUACCUAUGAUGAUGUGGAGUAUGCUCUAUAUGAUUGUGUAUACAUGCACAAGGAAGGUCAACUUCCUUACAUUGGUAAAAUCAUAAAGAUAUGGCAAAACCCAGAUAAGUCCAGGAAGAUAAAGGUACACUGGUUUUUCCGGCAAUCGGAGAUCUUGUAUCACCUGAAAGGUGUAAAAGUGGCAGCUGAGAAUGAAGUAUUUCUUGCCUCUGGUGAUGGCACUGGUUUGGCUAAUGUCAAUCCAUUGGUGAGCAUCGUAAAAGUGCUUUCUCUUUUUGCAUUUUCUUUUUCUCUGCUUUUACCUUAGAUUAAAAUAGGAAUUAACUAUGUAGAAUUACUUAAACCAUUUUGUUUUUGAUGAUGUGGAGUAUUUUCUAUAUGAUUGUGUAUACAUGCACAAUGAAGGUCAACUUCCUUACAUUGGUAAAAUCAUAAAGAUAUGGGAAAACCCAGAUAAGUCCAAGAAGAUAAAGGU
rnacentral:lncRNA from 1 species